rnacentral:rRNA from 1 species
UACGUAGGGGGCAAGCGUUGUCCGGAAUCAUUGGGCGUAAAGAGCGUGUAGGCGGCUCGGUAAGUCCGCUGUGAAAGUCCAGGGCUCAACCCUGGAAUGCCGGUGGAAACUGUCGGGCUAGAGUCCGGAAGAGGCGAGUGGAAUUCCUGGUGUAGCGGUGAAAUGCGCAGAUAUCAGGAGGAACACCGGUGGCGAAGGCGGGUCUUUGGGCCGAGUACUGA